CUCCAAGAAAACCCACUGCAGCCAGCACUAAGGGGUACUGAAUUCCAUCAGGACUUCAAUCCAGGGCAUUACUGGGAAGCAUGAGCAUGAUGAGAAAUUGCUGUCUAACAGAUCCUUUGUGGACUUCCGACCAAAACCAUCCAGAGCAACAUAUGCUCCAGGUGUGGUGCUCGAUGGAUUGUUGAAGACCAAGAUUUCCUUUGUCGACCAGGAAUAAAAUCCAUAUUUCCCUCCAAUACAGAGAACAGUCAGAAGGAAAGGUGUAGCACACUUGACCAAAACCCAGAAUCAUCUGCACUAUGGGCAUCUCCCACUGCCUCAUUCAGGACCCCAGGCGCUGCAGACUUGUACAGCCUGAGGCAGUCCCAGCCAGGCAGGAGGUGGGCAGAGACAAGGGAACUGCCUUGCUAAAGGUCACAGAACAGAAGAAAACCAGCACCCUGAACCCCCCAAAGGCUCCAGACAAUUUGUCAAGCAGCCUCUCAUCCCAGUGUUAUCUCAGAGUUUGUCCCUGCAAAAUCUGUCGAGGACGUGAGCAACAGCAUUUUAAUGGUACCCAUGAAUACUUUAUUUAAGGCUGAGACUUGGUGACUACAGUACUAUCAUUAUCAGUGCCUGGAAUGUGCCA